GAUGAAGAACGUAGCGAAAUGCGAUAAGUAAUGCGAAUUGCAGAAUUCAGUGAAUCAUCGAAUCUUUGAACGCACAUUGCGCCCGCUAGUAUUCUGGCGGGCAUGCCUGUCUGAGCGUCAUUUCAACCCUCGCCCCCGGCUUUUGCUGGGAGCGGUGUUGGGGAUCGGCCGCCCGUCACUGGGAGGCCGGCCCCGAAAUAGAGUGGCGACCACGCCGUGUGCUCCUCUGCGUAGUAGUAAAUCACCUCGCAGGCGGACAGCGGUGCGGCCUGCCGUAAAACCCCCAACUCUUUCUGGUUGACCUCAGAUCAGGUAGGAAUACCCGCUGAACUUAAGCAUAUCAAUAAGUGGAGGA
rnacentral:misc_RNA from 1 species